UACCAGCACCCCGAGUGGUCGGGACGAUUAUUGGGCCUAAAGCAUCCGUAGCCGGUUCUGCAAGUCUUCCGUUAAAUCCAGCUGCUUAACAGAUGGGCUGCGGGGGAUACUACAGAGCUAGGAGGCGGGAGAGGCAAGCGGUACUCAGUGGGUAGGGGUAAAAUCCGUUGAUCCAUUGAAGACCACCAGUGGCGAAGGCGGCUUGCCAGAACGCACUCGACGGUGAGGGAUGAAAGCUGGGGGAGCAAACCGG
rnacentral:rRNA from 1 species